rfam:Triticum urartu cultivar G1812 contig35769, whole genome shotgun sequence.
CUUUUACUCCCUCCGUUUGGAAAUACUUGUUCUAAAAAUGAUUGUUUCUAUAUCUGUUUUAGUUCUAGAUACAACCAUUUUUCAAACAAGUAUUUCCGAACGGAUGGAGUACAAG